UACAGAGGGGGCAAGCGUUGUUCGGAAUUACUGGGCGUAAAGGGCGCGUAGGCGGCCUUCUAAGUCGAACGUGAAAUCCCCGGGCUCAACUCGGGAACUGCGUCCGAUACUGGAAGGCUUGAAUCCGGGAGAGGGAUGCGGAAUUCCAGGUGUAGCGGUGAAAUGCGUAGAUAUCUGGAGGAACACCGGUGGCGAAGGCGGCAUCCUGGACCGGCAUUGACGCUGAGGCGCGAAAGCCAGGGGAGCAAACGGG
rnacentral:rRNA from 1 species